CACGGACCAGGGAGUCUAGCAUGUACGCAAGUCACUGGGCUAUAAUAUAUACUCCAGGGCGUAAUGAAAGUAAAGGUAUGUUGUAUGAUGUACACAUUUUGUGUGCUCAUGCGCUACCAAGGGAAGAUAAGUGUGAAUAAUAUAACACUUCGCAUUCCCAGGGCGUUCCAUAUAAAUUCAUUAUUGAAUUUGGGGCGCACCAAGAGCGUUCACGCUGGGACCCGAAAGAUGGUGAACUAUGC
rnacentral:rRNA from 1 species